rnacentral:rRNA from 1 species
AUUGAACGCUGGCGGCAGGCCUAACGCAUGCAAGUCGAGCGGAUGAAGGGAGCUUGCUCCUGGAUUCAGCGGCGGACGGGUGAGUAAUGCCUAGGAAUCUGCCUGGUAGUGGGGGAUAACGUCCGGAAACGGGCGCUAAUACCGCAUACGUCCUGAGGGAGAAGGUGGGGGAUCUUCGGACCUCACGCUAUCAGAUGAGCCUAGGUCGGAUUAGCUAGUUGGUGGGGUAAAGGCCUACCAAGGCGACGAUCCGUAACUGGUCUGAGAGGAUGAUCAGUCACACUGGAACUGAGACACGGUCCAGACUCCUACGGGAGGCAGCAGUGGGGAAUAUUGGACAAUGGGCGAAAGCCUGAUCCAGCCAUGCCGCGUGUGUGAAGAAGGUCUUCGGAUUGUAAAGCACUUUAAGAUGGGAGGAAGGGCAGUAAGUUAAUACCUUGCUGUUUUGACGUUACCAACAGAAUAAGCACCGGCUAACUUCGUG